ACCUGCGUCUCUUGCGCGCCGUCCGCAUUCGCCUGACGGCUGCCCGCUGCGUCUUGUCGGCC
rnacentral:sRNA from 1 species